GGCAAUUUGGGACCACAUUGGAUCACUUCAACCGAGACCGUGGAAAAAUCCGGGAGUGCGAGUUUUAAGUCUCUUAGUAUCGUGAAUCUGUUGUGGCUAAGGUCUAGUUAGAGAGUGUUGUACGAUUCGAUAGUAAUUGUUGUGCGAGUAUCCUAGAAAAAGAAGUUUUUGUGAACGGGAUUGGAACCGACGCCUCUAUCGACCUCUGAACAUCAACCGCAUCGCCCAACCCUCUCGACCAUCGUUUUCGUCGAUCCACGCGCUCUCGUCGGAAAUUCUCCGAGUUGCGGCUUUUGACCCGUGAACCGGAAAGGGGCCGCACCGUCACCAUUGCGUCCGUCUUGGC